rnacentral:rRNA from 1 species
UACGGAGGGUGCAAGCGUUAAUCGGAAUUACUGGGCGUAAAGCGUGCGCAGGCGGUUUGUUAAGUCCGUUGUGAAAGCCCCGAGCUCAACUUGGGAAUUGCAGUGGAUACUGGCAGGCUGGAGUACGGUAGAGGAAGGUGGAAUUCCCGGUGUAGCAGUGAAAUGCGUAGAUAUCAGGAAGAACACCCGUGGCUAAGGCGGCUCUCUAGUACGGUACUGACGCUGAGACGCGAAAGCGUGGGGAGCGAACAGG